rnacentral:tRNA from 1 species
GCCGCGGUAGAUCAGCCAGGGAGAUCGCACGGCUGAAGACCGUGUUGUCGCCGGUUCACAUUGAUUCAAUUCGAAUCAGUGGCCGAAAAAUCCGGCCCGCGGCACCA